rnacentral:rRNA from 1 species
UGUCGUCGCAGUGAAUCAUCGAAUCUUUGAACGCACUUUGCACCUGGUGGCUCUUGUCACCAGGUAUACUUGUUUGAGUAUCCAUAACCAUCUCACCUCCCCCUCGGGGCGAAGUGGACUUGAGAUUCGAUGGUGAACCCGGAAACGGGCUCCGAGUCGUCUCUCUAAAGGCAUGACCGACACUGGAAAGUCUCCUACUGGAGGCCGACAGAGACCAUUGGGAUAACGUCCUACAAUUGUCUCGUUGCCUCAUAAGUGUUGACGGCCCUUGGUCAAUUGGAUCAAUGUCAACAAAAAUUGACAGCGAUCAUUAGGCUUGCAAGUCCUUACGGGCAAGUGACCUAUGUAACGGAUCUCAAAUCAAGUAAGGGUACCCGCUGAACUUAAGCAUAUCAAUAAGCGGAGG